rnacentral:rRNA from 1 species
CCGAUGACUUUACCUGAUUUUUCGAGAGGUGGUGCAUGGCCGUCGUCAGUUCGUACCGUAAGGCGUUCUGUUAAGUCAGAUAACGAACGAGACCCUCGCCCUUAAUUGCCAACCCAUUCUUCGGAGUGGGCGCACAUUAAGGGGACCGCUGGCGCUAAGUCAGAGGAAGGAGAGGUCAACGGUAGGUCAGUAUGCCCCGAAUCUCCCGGGCUACACGCGCGCUACAAAGGAUAGGACAAUGGGAUGCAAUACCGAAGAGGUAACGCGAACCCCGAAACCUAUUCGUAGUUCGAACUGAGGGCUGUAACUCGCCCUCACGAAGCUGGAUUCCGUAGUAAUCGCGGGUCAACAUCCCGCGGUGAAUAUGCCCCUGCUCUUU